rnacentral:tRNA from 1 species
GGGGAUGUAGCUCAGAGGCACAGCGCCUUCUUGGCAAGAGUGAGGUCCUGAGUUCAAUCCCCGGUACCCCCC